rnacentral:rRNA from 1 species
UACGAAGGGUGCAAGCGUUACUCGGAAUUACUGGGCGUAAAGCGUGCGCAGGCGGUUUUGUAAGCCAGAUGUGAAAUCCCCCGGGCUCAACCUGGGAACUGCAUUUGUGACUGCAUCGCUGGAGUGCGGCAGAGGGGGAUGGAAUUCCGCGUGUAGCAGUGAAAUGCGUAGAUAUGCGGAGGAACACCGAUGGCGAAGGCAAUCCCCUGGGCCUGCACUGACGCUCAUGCACGAAAGCGUGGGGAGCAAACAGG